rfam:Populus trichocarpa scaffold_2_contig_203, whole genome shotgun sequence.
UCUAAAACUCGAGAUAUAGGCUGAACACUGAACAGUGUCUGGACUGCAGGACAGAUUCCAACUUCUCCGUUGUUGCUAAGAUUUGGACUUCCAAAUAGCAGAAUUGAGUCUCUCUCAUCAAUGUUUUAGGCCUAUGUCUUAGCUUUCUAGC